rnacentral:rRNA from 1 species
CCUACGGGUGGCUGCAGUGGGGAAUAUUGGGCAAUGGGCGCAAGCCUGACCCAGCAACGCCGCGUGAAGGAAGAAGGCUUUCGGGUUGUAAACUUCUUUUCUCAGGGACGAAGCAAGUGACGGUACCUGAGGAAUAAGCCACGGCUAACUACGUGCCACCAGUCGCUGUAAUACGUAGGUUGCAAGCGUUAUCCGGAUUUACUGGGUGUAAAGGGCGUGUAGGCGGGACGGCAAGUCAGAUGUGAAAACCAUGGGCUCAACCUAUGGCCUGCAUUUGAAACUGGAGUUCUUGAGUACUGGAGAGGCAGGCGGAAUUCCUAGUGUAGCGGUGAAAUGCGUAGAUAUUAGGAGGAACGCCGGUGGCGAAGGCAGUCUACUGGACAGCAACUGACGCUGAGGCGCGAAAGCGUGGGGAGCAAACAGGAUUAGAUACCCGGGUAGUC